CCUCACCUCUCUCUCUCUUUCUGUUUCAGAUCAGGAAACAGAGCGACGCGACCGGUCUCCCAUGGCGAAGGGCAAGCUCCGCGACACUCAGAAGUACGGCGUCCCUCUCUACGGAGCCGCCUGGGCUCCCCUCGACCGCAUCCGGCGCCGCCUCAGGUCGCGCCGGCCGCCGGCGGAGGCGGAGCGCGAGGCGGAUGGCGGAGGCGGCGACGCGGCCGAUCGCGGCUGCGUCGUCCUCGCCGGCGGCGGCGGCGAGGGCAAGAGCGGCAUCCCCAACGCCGUCCUCGUCGCCGAGUACGACUUCGCCUCCGGUUCUCUCUCCGAGCAGCCCGUCACUAAGAUUGGCACUGGUUCGGAAUUGCCUUAUAGAAUGGCUGUUCACCCACAAGGAGAUGGUGUCCUUUGUGCAUCGCCAAAAGGUUGUAGAUGGUUUGAAUGGGAGGAUCCUGAAAAUGCCGAAGAUCAUAAAUUGGGCCUUAGGAAGUCAGAGAAAGUGCUCGGGCAGUUAGAGAAUGCUAUACAACAGUUAGCAUUAGUAUUUAGCCACGAUGGUUCUUUGCUUGCUGCUGGUGACGAGGGCGAGGAUGGCAAGGUAAUGGUCUUUAAGUGGCCCAGCAUGGACAUUAUUCUCAAUGAGGCCCAGGGUUCUUCUCUGAGAGACCUUGCUUUCAGUCUCGAUGGAAAGUUCCUUGUCUCCUUGGGGGAUUCUGGCCCCUGUCGGGUUUGGGAUCUAACUUCCUCAGUUGCCAAAGCUUCUCUGCCAAAAGAGGAUGGUGAGAAAUUCAGAUUUUGCAGAUUUUCUCAAAGUAGUGAUGGGACACAGGUUUUGUUUGUCGCUGCAGUCACAGGUCGAGGGGCGAGCAUUUUGACAUGGAACACAUCCUCAUGGAAGAGAAUCGGCUCCAAGCAUGUAGCUCGUGUUCCAGUUAUCGCAUUUAAUGUUUCAGCAGACGGAAAACUCGUUGCGGUCGGCACGGAAGGAGGAGACAUCGUUAUCUUAAAUUCAUCUAGUAUGAAGACUCAGACUGUCGUGAAAAAAGCACAUAUUGGUUUUGUAACAGCAUUAGCAUUCUCUCACGAUUCAAGGGCAAUUGUUUCAGCAUCCAUGGACUCAAGUGCUACGGUGACUCAGGUUCAGGGUGCGGGAGGAUCAAGAUUGUGGCUCAUUGUAUUUAUAGUUCUACUUGCGAUAGCCGCGGAAUUCAUGAGGAGAUGGGGCCUUUUUCCCUUCAAGGCGAUAGUCGAUGCAGGAAAGUGAGGGAAAGCUAAAUUCACAAACGAAUUUUACGGACGUGUAAUGAAAGUACAUCACAGUGAAUCGGACGUGUAAUGAAAGUACAUCACAGUGAUUUCACCAAUGCGUGGCCCUUCAAAUUGGUCUACUGUGCAGUGAAUGUACUCGGCCUCAAUUCGGUUUUGGACAUCUAUCGAUAGGCUGUUCAUGGCAGAUGACCUCGCUUCUGUUCGUAAUACCCUAAUCAAGAUGAAUUAUUGACGUAUACUGUUUACCAUCACACCAUCGUGUCCGUGCAACCUGUUGCCCUGCACCUCAUUAAUUCGUGGUAGAUCCACCUUUCCGAAGUCCACUCCGGCCUGCACCUCACUAUUUCUCGUAUCGCGGUGUUUUCAUUCUACGUGUGUAACCCACAUUUACAGGAGAUUAACUAAGAAAGGAUUUCAUAAUAA